rnacentral:rRNA from 1 species
UACGGGGGGGGGCAAGCGUUGUUCGGAAUUACUGGGCGUAAAGCGCGUGUAGGCGGCCGUGCAAGUCGGGUGUGAAAGCCCUCGGCUCAACCGAGGAAGUGCGCCCGAAACUGCAUGGCUUGAGUACCGGGAGAGGAUGGCGGAAUUCCCCAAGUAGAGGUGAAAUUCGUAGAUAUGGGGAGGAACACCGGUGGCGAAGGCGGGCCAUCUGGACGGAUACUGACGCUGAGACGCGAAAAGCGUGGGGAGCAAACAGGG